AUUGAACGCUGGCGGCAUGCUUUACACAUGCAAGUCGAACGGUAACAGGCCUUCGGGUGCUGACGAGUGGCGAACGGGUGAGUAAUGCAUCGGAACGUACCCAGAGGUGGGGGAUAACGCAGCGAAAGCUGUGCUAAUACCGCAUGUGAUCUGAGGAUGAAAGCGGGGGACCGAGCAGCAAUGUUUGGCCUCGCGCCUUGGAACGGCCGAUGUCGGAUUAGCUAGUUGGUGGGGUAAAGGCCUACCAAGGCGACGAUCCGUAGCUGGUCUGAGAGGACGACCAGCCACACUGGGACUGAGACACGGCCCAGACUCCUACGGGAGGCAGCAGUGGGGAAUUUUGGACAAUGGGCGCAAGCCUGAUCCAGCAAUGCCGCGUGCGGGAAGAAGGCCUUCGGGUUGUAAACCGCUUUUGGCAGGAACGAAACGGUGUCCGCUAAUACCGGGCGCUAAUGACGGUACCUGCAGAAUAAGCACCGGCUAACUACGUG
rnacentral:rRNA from 1 species